rnacentral:rRNA from 1 species
AGAGUUUGAUGCCUGGCUCAGGGUUAACGCUGGCGGUGUGCCUAACACAUGCAAGUCGAGCGAGAUUCGUAUUGUCUCUGUUUACAGAGAUAGUACGAUGAGAGCGGCAAACGGGUGAGUAACGCGUGGGAACUUGCCUCAGACACAGGGAUACCUACGAGAAAUCGUAGUUAAUACCGGAUAGUCCCUUCGGGGUAAAGGCUUCGGUCGGUCUGAGAGAGGCCUGCGUCAGAUUAGCUAGUUGGUAAGGUAAAGGCUUACCAAGGCGAUGAUCUGUAGCUGAUGUGAGAGCAUGAUCAGCCACAAUGGAACUGAGACACGGUCCAUACUCCUACGGGAGGCAGCAGUGAGGAAUUUUCCGCAAUGGGCGAAAGCCUGACGGAGCGACACCGCGUGGAGGAUGACGGCCCUUGGGUUGUAAACUCCUUUUCUGAGGGAACAAUGAACAAAAGAGGGUACCUCAGGAAUAAGCACCGGCUAAUCUCGUGCCAGCAGCCGCGGUAAUACGAGAGGUGCAAGCGUUACCCGGAAUUAUUGGGCGUAAAGCGACUCUAGGCUGUAUAAUAAGUCUUGUUUUAAAUCUUAGAGCUCAACUCUGAAACCGGCCAAGAAACUAUUAUACUUGAACAUAGGAGAGGUUAGCGGAAUUCGGUAAGUAGGAGUUAAAUCCAUUGAUCUACCGAGGAACACCAAAAGCGAAGGCAGCUAACUGGACUAUUGUUGACGCUGACAGUCGAAAGCGUGGGGAGCGAAACGGAUUAGAUACCCGUGUAGUCCACGCCGUAAACGAUGGAUACUAGGGGUUGGCUAUGUAGAUAGUCAGUCUCCAAAGCUAACGCGUUAAGUAUCCCGCCUGAGUAGUACGAUCGCAAGAUUAAAACUCAAAGGAAUAGACGGGGGUCCACACAAGCGGUGGAGCAUCUGGUUUAAUUCGAUAAUAAGCGGAAAACCUUACCUAGACUUGACAUCUCUAUCGUACGUCUUGGAAACAAGAUGGUCAGUUCGGCUGGAUAGAUGACAGGCGAUGCAUGGUUGUCGUCAGCUCGUGCCUUGAGGUGUAUGGUUAAGUCCCAUAACGAGCGCAACCCUCACUACUAGUUGCUUUUUUCUAGUGGAACUGCCAGCCAAAAGCUGGAGGAAGGUGGGGAUGACGUCAAAUCAGCAUGUCCCUUAUGUCUAGGGCUACACAGGUGCUACAAUGGUACGUACAAAGGGCAGCAAUAGGGCGACCUGGAGCCAAUCCUUAAAACGUAUCUCAGUUCGGAUUGGAGUCUGAAACUCGACUCCAUGAAGUUGGAAUCGCUAGUAAUCGUGGAUCAGACACGCCACGGUGAAUAUGUCUCCUGGCACCUUGUACCUCACCGCCCGUCA